AUAUCAAGCACAACUCCUCCACAGCACCUGUCACAAAAACGAAAUCCUUUCAUAUUGCAUUUCUUCACCAAAACAAAUUAAGUGACCGUACCCUUCAUAUAUACAUGGCUAUUCGUAUGCCUCGGAUCAUUCAAGCAAAGAAAGUUCUUGGUCGAUCAUUGUCCAAUGGAAGCCGUCCAUCAUCAUCUACAGACAUCAUCCCUAAAGGACAUUUUGCAGUUUAUGUUGGUGAUCAAGAGAAAAGACGAUUUGUUGUUCCUUUAUCAUUAUUAAACCAGCCUUCAUUCCAAGACUUGCUACAUCAAGCAGAGGAAGAAUUUGGAUAUGAUCAUCCAAUGGGUGGCCUCACAAUUCCAUGUCGUGAGGAAGUGUUUGUUGAUGUUGCUUCCCGCCUUUGCUCGUUAUGAUGAAGAGCUAGGCAUGCAUCGUGAAUUUGCUAACAGUUUUGUACAGUCAAAAUUACCAUGAGGAUUAAUUACUUGUAAAUCAGAGGGAGUAAUGUGGUCUCCAAAUUAACUGUAUGAUAACAAAAUUUAGUUUCAGCAAUAAUACAUUAAUGACGAGCAUAGUUCAACGUAUGGUGUUCAUGUUAUGCCAUUAGGGCUUUCUUUAUCAAUAUCCUCUAAGCCCACCAGAACCACUUACUUUCUUUUGUUCUUUAGCUUGUAUUUUCAAUCUGUUAAAAAAAAAAGUGUGUAUGCCUCAUCUUUCUCCGUAUACUGAAUGUCACUAUAGCUUUAAGGCCUGGAUCAGUUGUUUCUUCAACACCACCUACCCAAGAGCUAUCAGUUAUUGUUCUUUUACUCUAACCUAUUAUAGGGACUGAUUGGUGAAGAGAAAUCGGCUGAUGACCAAUGAUCAGUAGUUCGAUAAAGGGAACGACUUUGUAAAAGGCCUGCUAAUGUCUUUCUUGUGGAAGCUCAGAAGUUUAAACAAAAGAACUCACAUAGAGAACAUCAUGGUAUUUAGCUGCUUCUGAUGGCAAACUAUUAGGCAUAUUUUUAAUAGAUUAUGACCAUAUUACUAAUUAGGAAGGUUUCAAUAUAAAGUCCAGCUACAACUCUUGUAUAGAUAUCAUGAAAACUAUGGAAAAAGGCAAGGCAUUGAGUUUCAAAUAUUAUAAUCACAAAAGAAUUCCAACAGAGACCCCUCUUGGAACAUCCUAAACAUCAUAACAUCCUACUUUCUUCCCAAUAGAUUUAUUCCGCUACAAAUCUUAAUUACUCAAGCAACAUGACAAUCACUGACAACCUACCAAAAUAGUUAGAAAGACCCCACAAUAUAUAUAUAUAUAUAUAUAUNNNNNNNNNNNNNNNNNNNNNNNNNNNNNNNNNNNNNNNNNNNNNNNNNNNNNNNNNNNNNNNNNNNNNNNNNNNNNNNNNNNNNNNNNNNNNNNNNNNNNNNNNNNNNNNNNNNNNNNNNNNNNNNNNNNNNNNNNNNNNNNNNNNNNNNNNNNNNNNNNNNNNNNNNNNNNNNNNNNNNNNNNNNNNNNNNNNNNNNNNNNNNNNNNNNNNNNNNNNNNNNNNNNNNNNNNNNNNNNNNNNNNNNNNNNNNNNNNNNNNNNNNNNNNNNNNNNNNNNNNNNNNNNNNNNNNNNNNNNNNNNNNNNNNNNNNNNNNNNNNNNNNNNNNNNNNNNNNNNNNNNNNNNNNNNNNNNNNNNNNNNNNNNNNNNNNNNNNNNNNNNNNNNNNNNNNNNNNNNNNNNNNNNNNNNNNNNNNNNNNNNNNNNNNNNNNNNNNNNNNNNNNNNNNNNNNNNNNNNNNNNNNNNNNUAUAUACUGCUUGUAAUCAAUAAAUGAAUGAUAUAAAACCACAAUGGGUCUCUUACUUAGUUGAUAUCAGAGUUACGGAAAAGAAAACAGCCAAUCGGUUAUCAGUUAAGGUCAAAUAGCAGAUCCUUUUGUAUCGAUCAUGGAUAACAGAACAACCUUCAAAAGAUAUGUCUCUGAUUUUCUUCAGGAGGGAAAAGCAAAAUAUUUAAAUGCGUACUAUGUGUUGAUUUCAGGACCUGAAAUCGUGGACUUGUUGUACUUGAAAAAAAGAUGCCUAACCUUCUGAUAUUUUUGACAAACAUGGCCAUCUCUUCUUUGNUUCGUAUGCCUCGAAUCAUUCAGGCCAAAAAAGUUCUCGGUCGAUCAUUCUCCAAUGGAAGCCGCUCAUCAUCAUCAUCGGUAGACAUCAUCCCCAAAGGACAUUUAGCAGUUUAUGUUGGUGAUCAAGAAAAAAGACGAUUUGUUGUUCCUUUAUCGUUAUUAGACCAGCCUUCAUUCCAAGAUCUGUUACGUCAAUCAGAGGAAGAAUUUGGUUAUGAUCAUCCAAUGGGUGGCCUCACAAUUCCAUGUCGUGAGGAUGUCUUCAUUCAUGUCGCUUCUGGCCUGGUCUGCUCAUUAUGACCAAGAAUUUUGCAUUCUAUUCGCUAACAUAUAACGUAAUUUUGUACAGUAGAAAUCACCAUGAAACCUAAGUAUUUGUAAAGCUGUCUCCAAAUUGUAUAAUAGCCAACAUUAGUUUCACCAUUAACAUAGCAAUGAAGAACAUCAUUCAAAUUUUGGUAUCUAUAUAUGCAUAUUCCAUCUUUCCUUUAUUAAUGUACUCUUAUAAGGUGCUCAAAAUCCGUACUUCAAACUUUCUAAAUCGAUCUAACAAGUGUUCAAAAAUGGUAAUUAUUUCACAUAAUUUUCUAUAUAGUUAAUACUACAUUUCUUCUGCGCUAAGACAGCCACACGACUUCAAUCAAGCACCAAAUUUCGCUGAACUCAACACAUAGAAUCCUCCACAUAUACUGUGCGGCUUCCUCGUGUGAGCGUGUGAUUCACAUUCCACAAUCUUAUCGGCACGACAUCAUCACGACCUUCCAAUUCGCGUUAUAGGCGGUGGCAGGGAUUUAAGACCAUUUUUCUUUCGAAAUUCGAUUUCAUCAAAAUCAGGCCUUAAACACUUGUAUUUCUCCAUUUUCUUUGGACCGUAAAUAUCAUAUAUGAUUUUCGUAUCUCUUGACUCAGCCAAUGGUCUUCAUGCUUUCGGCUUUAUACAAAAAUCUUGGUGAUUUUGUCUUAAUAUCAGUAUUUCUUUACUAAUUAUUGUUGAUUCUCAUUUAUAUAGUAUUGGUUCCAUACAUUGGAGGUAUUAUUUUGGAUUAUCAAACCGUAUGAAGAUGCAAGUUCGAUUAUUUGGAACUUUAAACUUGGACUGAGAUUUACCAAUACUGAUAAACUUUGUUAUUUUUGUUCAUUUUUAACUAAUAUUAUUGUGAAAGGCUUGUUAAAAACUAGCAGGACAAAGACGACAUACGAAGGUUCUUUUUGAUAUGACACAAUUCAAGUUUUUUUAAUUGUUAUAUUCGGCAUGUCAAAAAAUAUCUUCUAAACAAGUUUAUAAGCGAGGUUUUUAAAGAGCUACUCAAACUCGAAUUUUAACAAACUUUAAAAUCUUUUUUAAAAUCCUCCCUUUAUAUAUGUUCAUUUCCCUAGACCAAGGGCCAAGGAGCCAAAAGCGAAGAUAGAAGAAAAGUAGUCUAUUGAUUAGCUAAGUGCAAAAGUGACAAAAAUAAGAAAGUAAGAUUGUUAUUACCUUUAUAUAUGUUAUUAUAAGUCAUAUAAUUUAUUAGAAAGGAGUUUCAUGGAAAUGAGGGUAAAAUGAGAAGAAUUAUGAAAAAUUAAAAUAUAAAUCAAAUAAUGAAAGUAGUAAAUUUGGAGCUCUAGGAGGCCAACCAAACGUUGGUGUUUAGGAACAAACAGGGUUGAAAUGGAAAGAGGACGUAUAAUACUAAACAAUGUAAAAUGACUCAACUUAAUUGGUAAAACAAUGAGCAAAUUAUGAGCUUGCAAAGUUAAAAGACAAUUCAUUCAUAAGUUAUGGGUUAUUUCAAAAUUCCAAGGUACUAACUUUAGAGGUUAAUAGCUAUAGAUCUAGAAUGAUUCAAAAAAAAUCUAUAAAAAGAAUAUUAUAAACAUUAUGUCAACAGAAACAUAAGAUGAUUCAAGAAAAUUAGAAUCAUUAUGAAGUAGUUAUGAGCAUUUAAAAAUGUCAAGUUAAAACAUAAAGUUAACAAAAUAACAAGUAUAAACCUAUGUUCAUGAGUUAAUAACUCAAUAUUUGUACAUAUUCAACCAAAGAUGUUUGCACGCAUCACACUCCUUGUUCUUUCUAAUAAAUCCUUAAUUUUAAUUUUAGAAAAAUUAUUUUCAUUAUAAAAAUUUCUCAAACCCUCGAUUUGAGUCUAGACACCCCCGAAGGUGUGGCCGGAUCCCUCAAACCAAGACUCUGAUACCAAAUUGUAACAUCCCAAAAAUUAAGGCCAAAAAUUUCAUUUUUAUUUAAUAAUUAUAAAACCAUUUGUCUGAAAACAUCCAUAAUAUCAACUCAUAUCAAAACCACUAUAUGAAUAGUCAAAACAUGUCAUGAUAAACAAUAUCAGAGUAAAACUCCAAGAGAUCUCAUGUGCGGAAAAUAUAGUGUGAUACACUACGAUCAUGCCGGAUAUCUGGGUGCUUGACCUACUCUGCUAGGCAUAUCUGGGUGCCCAACCUAUGCUCCAGUUUAUCUCAACCGGUUACAGAGACUAUUUCACCCCUACCACUACCACAUAAUACAUAGCAUAAUCAUACUGUCAGGCAUAUCUAGGUGCCGAACCUACCCUUAGGUUUAUCUCAACCGAUUCCGGGGACUAUUCCUCCUCCUACCACUAUCACAUAAUAUCAUAGCAUAAUAGCACAUAUAACAUAACAGAUAGUGGCAUACUAGACAAUUAUCUCUACUAUAAUCAGCCAAUAGUGGGCUGGCAUUGGUGCCUUCGACCCACUUCUACUGGAAGGUAACUCACCUCAAAUAUCAUGAAGUAGCUAAACUAUCCUCAACUUUGAAAUCAACCCCACUCAAACUUCUACACAUAAAAUAUUCCCUUUAAUUACCCUUUUCAUACUCAUAACCCGUUCAGGUUCAACUUUGAUCAAAGUCAAAGUCGAAGUCAACACCCUAGUCAAAGUCAACAUUCCGGUCAAAGUCAACACUAUGGUCAAAAGUCAACAUUCCGGGAUGACUCAACUCGCCGAGUUCCAUAAAUCAUGAAACCUUGAAAUUGCGAUCCAACUCGUCGAGUUCUUUCACAACUCGUCGAGUUCCUCCUAUAAACAGAAUCAAGACUUCUCCAUUCAACUCGUCAAGUUUUUCCUUUUUAUAGAAUUGGGAUACUUCGACCCAACUCGUCGAGUUCCUCUAUGAACUCGUCGAGUUCUUCAGUGUGUUAAGCCCUUCUUAAUGGAUGAAGGUCCUAUUCCUCAGAUCUAAGCUUCAUACUUCGUAUUCAUACUGAAAAUGUCCUUUUUAAGGGUAAAAGUUUCCAACUUUACCCGUUAAUACCCUUCCUUAAUGGAUUUAGCUCAAAACCUAACUCUUUAACACCUGGAUCUUGAUCCAAAAGCCAUUAAUACUUUAAGCUAAGGCAUACAAACUCAGAUCUAGAGCCUAGACACUACAUGAACACGUAAAGUCUCUGACUUUCUCUCAAUGCAUGGCCUUUUGGAGCUUAAAAGGCCAAAAUGACAUCCUAAAGCUUGCAUGGGGCUUCAAUGGCCAUAAAGUUUGCACCUUUAUGCGAUGAAAGCCCUUCAAGGUCCUAGAUUUGGAAUUAUACUCACUUGGGACUCCCAUUUCCCAAGGACCAUGCUACUUGGACCAAAACCCAAUGAAAGUGAAAAUGCAGAGAUCUAAGAAAUCAUUAAGCAAGUUUGAGGCUUGCAUACCAGAAAAUGCUGCAAAUAGAGUGAAGUUUCUGGAUCUACUACUUCCUUCGUGAGUCAUCACGCUUCUUAUUCCACAAGCAAGAACCGGGCGUUACACAACGGCCAACGUUGACUUGCCAUGUCGUGGUGGUCCUUCAUCAUGUCGUAGUCCCUAAAGAACAAAACAGACGAUCUAACCCCAGUCGCCACAACGUGGUGACCUGACACUACGUCGUGGAAACGAGGUUCCAAACAACUUAAUUGAUUAAACUGCUUUCUUCAACCUUCUAGACUACAAUGCUCAAAUCUCACUCAAAACGAUAUCUAGAGGGAUAAAGUUUCUAAAUUUACCCUAAGGACCAUCAAAAAAGGUCUAAAACUCAAACCCUAGGUUCCAUAAGGCAUGAAAUUAACAAUUAAGCACUUAUUCCUUUAAAUCCAAGGUCCAUCUUCUCUAGUUGUGUUUCUAACACUAAAAUCAACAUGAAAGUUGGUGCUUUAUAGACAUGCAUGUCCAAUGCGUGUCUUGAACCCAUAUUAGGUCAAAAUGAGAAUUUGUGAACUAAAUCUCAUGCAUGAUUACAAUAUGCAACUAAACUUCAGAUCCAAGCCACCAAUUUCAUCAAAUGUCAAAGAGAUUCAUAAAGUCGCAAACAUUAUGAAAUCCCACCAUUCUAACCAGUAAGAAUAAGAAGAUUAUGGGACAAAGCUUAAGAUCUAGCAUCCUAUCAUGAUAAAAGUCAUGUUUGGGACAGUUACAAAGGUCCAAAAGAGUGUCAAGGUAAAUAAUGGAGGCUUGCUUGCUGGAUCGAAGCUCAAUAAUUCCUCCUUCUUCCUUCAAAAGAUUCCAAGACGACCAAAAACGAGCACAAGAGCACCAAGGAGGAUUAGGGUUAGAGUUGCUGGGUUUGGGAGUGAUGGAGGCUGAAGGUGGACAACCCUAGCCUCCCUACUUUCCGUUAAAUACUCAAAAAAAUUAGGGUUUGCCAUCAGGCCGCCACCACAUUGUGGCCACAAGCCGCCACGUCAUGGUGACUAAAUGAAACAUGCGAUCUAGUCUCGACUCGCCAUGUUGUCUUGGUCCUUCACCAAGUCGUGGCGGCCCUAAACAAAGAAGAUAAUAAUUACAAAGUACCUCAAAAUCUGGAUGUUACAUUAACAAGAUGACAAGGCUUUGUUGGGUUGCUACCUCCGGUCGGGAAGUAUAUUCCUAGUCGACAAACAUAAAAACGCCUAACUAUUUUUGCAACAAUGUAGCUAGGCGAAUUGAAGGUUGAAUACUCCUUGUUUGCAAGGUUGUUUGGAAAGCUACAAAAUUAAUAGCUAUGAUUUAACAACCUAUGAAUAAAAGAGUCUCGAAGGAAACCAACUUGGGAUUACAACGUCCUCCAUCAAAAGGUACCAAAGUCAACAUUGAUUGAUUAAAGUGUAAGUUGGUAUAUUAAGAAAGAGUUAAGAUAAUUUUUUUGGAUUUUUGAAUACCAAAACACUCACUGUCCGAAUAUGAAGACUUCUCUAGUGGUUCAUUUUUUUUCAUUGCUCUGUGGGUUCUGUCGGGAUGAUCAAGAGAUGAUCAAACGAUGCUAAACGUGAUGCGAUGAGCCUCUAAAACUUUAAGACCGUGUUGUAAUUGAGUUCGUCUAGACCAAAGACGACGGGUAUGUAUGCGAUGAUGUUGGUAAUGGAAACCAUCAGUGAAAAGGAAGGCGGUGACUAUAGUUGUAUAGAGAAGGACAACUAACAAGAAGAAAAAAGAGAAGAUAAGGAUUGGAUAUUGGAGUGACAUAAUCCGGAAAAUCUGUAACAAAUUGGAUAUUAUAUUAAAAAACGUAUUUCCACAUCAAUCCUAUUUGUCAUUAAAGAAUCGGAAUAUGUACUUGUACAUCAUACGUAGGCAAUGUUAGCAUUAAUGGAUUGGGUAUAUAUACAAAUCCAUAUAUAUAAUACCGAAAGAGGCCAACAAAUAUGUCCGUUAUAAUAGACUAAUAUUUAGAUGGCGUUUUGUACGAUAACAAGAUUUUUGACCCAAGCUAGCAAAUUAAGAUUAAAAUAUUUCUUUCUCUUCAAAAACCACAAAAAAUAAAAAUAAAAAUAAACCACGGUCAAACAUCUCUCCUUUUUUCCGGUUAGAUGAAAGAAACACCAUUUUCUUCUUUAAUGAGCAAUCCCCGAUAACUACAUCCAAUUACACCCUUGAUCCCGUUUUAAGUUGGAGUAGAACUUUGAGCACCGUGCUGGAAAUGUAUACCCACUUAUAGGACUAUGUUGUACCGAUGUAGAAUACACUAACAACAACAUGAGAAGUUACAUCUUUGAUAUUUUGGUCGGUGGCCAAGUAAAAACUUUAAAUUCAAAAGCUUAUUAGUAGGUGGUUGAUUCAUAUGCAUGAUUAGAUUUGAUCCCAUUUGGAUUUUGAUAGUGUUGAACACUUCACCACCUAAAAUGGUGGAAUGGUUGUACUUCAAAAAAAAUAAAGAUGCAAAAUGUUAUGAUUUUUUAUGAAACAUAGCAAUGUGAGAAAUAAUGGUUAAUGUCCUUCAGACUCCAAUAUACAUAUGGGCCAUAGUUUUGCUCACUCUUUUCCACUUACAUUGCAGAAAAUAUGUGGCACACUUCAUUCAACGUCUAAUCCUUUGGGUCCAAUAACAAUUUGGAAGACAAAAGCAUGUGAUCUUGCAAUUUGCAAGAAUCUGUCACAAUCACUUCGCUAAAAUUCCUACUAUUACUCAAUCAUAUUAAAAUCUUCUUACCCCUAUAUAAUGCAUCCGAUUGUGCUGAUAUCAAGCACAACUCCUCCACAGCACCUGUCACAAAAACGAAAUCCUUUCAUAUUGCAUUUCUUCACCAAAACAAAUUAAGUGACCGUACCCUUCAUAUAUACAUGGCUAUUCGUAUGCCUCGGAUCAUUCAAGCAAAGAAAGUUCUUGGUCGAUCGUUGUCCAAUGGAAGCCGUCCAUCGUCAUCUACAUACAUCAUCCCUAAAGGACAUUUUGUAGUUUAUGUUGGUGAUCAAGAGAAAAGACGAUUUGUUGUUCCUUUAUCAUUAUUAAACCAACCUUCAUUCCAAGACUUGCUACAUCAAUCAGAGGAAGAAUUUGGAUAUGAUCAUCCAAUGGGUGGCCUCACAAUUCCAUGCCGUGAGGAAGUAUUUGUUGAUGUUGCCUGCCGCCUUUGCUCGUUAUGAUGAAGAGCUAGGCAUGCAUCGUGAAUUUGCUAACAGUUUUGUACAGUCAAAAUUACCAUGAGGAUUAAUUACUUGUAAAUCAGAGGGAGUAAUGUGGUCUCCAAAUUAACUGUAUUAUAACAAAAUUUUGUUUCAGCAAUAAUACAUUAAUGACGAGCAUAGUUCAACGUAUGGUGUUCAUGUUAUGCCAUUAGGGCUUUCUUUAUCAAUAUCCUCUAAGCCCACCAGAACAACUUACUUUCUUUUGUUGUUUAGCUUGUAUUUUCAAUCUGUUCAAAAAAAGUGUGUAUGCCACAUCGAUCUUUCUCCAUGUACUGAAUGUCACUAUAGCUUUAAGGCCUGGAUCAGUUGUUUCUUCAACACCACCUACCCAAGAGCUAUCAAUUAUUGUUCUUUUACUCUAACCUGUUAUGAUAGGGACUGAUUGGUGAAGAGAAAUCGGCUGAUGACCAAUGAUCAGUAGUUAGAUAAAAAUUCAUGGUAGGAUCACACAUGUUAGUGUAUGAACUAAAGGGAACGACUUUGUAAAAGGCCUGCUUAUGUCUUUCUUGUGGAAGCUCAGAAGUUUAAACAAAAGAACUCACAUACAGAAUGAGAACGAUCUGAAUUAAUUUAACCAAAAGUCAUUACAGAAGAAAGAUAAUACAAAGACUAAAUACUUGGACAAUUAUACAUAAAUGACAAAAAGAGUCCUUCAACUAUAUUUAUAAAUAUAUUAACACCCCCCUCAAACUCAAGAUGGUUCAUGAGGGACCAAAUUGAGUUUGGAAAGUAGAAUAGAGAAGCGUCUUGGAUGAUGAGCUUUAGUGAAGAUAUCAGCAGGUUGGUCAGUAGAUGAGAUUGGAGAUAGAGUAAUGGUAUUGUGAAUGACAUGUUGUCGAACAAAAUGGCAAUCGAUCUCAAUGUGUUUGGUGCGCUCAUGGAACACGUCAUUGUAAGCAAUCUGAAUGGCACUUGUAUUAUCACACCAUAUGAUGGUCGGUGAAGAAAGAGAAAGACCCAUAUCUGAUAGAAGCCAACGCAACCAUACAAGCUCUUGGGUGGUGAAAGCAAGAGCCCGAUAUUCAGCUUCGGUGCUAGAUCUGGUGACUAAUGAUUGUUUCUUACUACGCCAUGAAAUUAGUGAAUCACCAAGGAAGAAACAAAAUCUGGUGGUAGAUCGACGAUCUGUGAUAUCCCCAUCCCAAUCUGCAUCCGAGAAGGCAUGAAGCUCUAAAGAUGAGGUGGAUGAGAAGUAGAGACCAUGGAAUAUGGUACCUUUAAUAUACCGUAAGAUACGCAACACUGCAGUAUAAUGAGUUGUUCGAGGAGAAGCCAUGAAUUGACUAACAAUAUGAACAGCAAAUGCAAGAUCGGGACGCGUAACGGUCAGGUUGACAAGUGAACCGACGAGCUGACGGUAAAGGGUAGGAUCAGAGAGGAGAGAACCAUCACCCGGUGAUAGAUGAAAGUUAGGGUCUAAGGGUGUAUUAGCAACCUUACAAUCGGUAAUACCGGCACGUGAAAUAAGAUCUGAUGCAUAUUUUGCUUGAGAUAAAUAAAUGCCAGUGUCAUGAGGAAGCACUUCAAGACCAAGAAAAUAGUGAAGUAAACCCAAAUCCUUCAUCUCAAAAUAAGAACUAAGUGACUGUUUUAGAUCAAGAAUACCAUGAGCAUCGCUACCUGUAAUAAUCAUGUCAUCCACAUAGAGAAUAAGAAGAAUAGUGCCCGAUGUAGUGGUUUUAGUGAACAGUCCAGAGUCAUAGUUGCUGGCGGUGAAACCCAAAGACUGAAUAAUUGUGCUGAAUUUUUCAAACCAAGCUCUUGGUGCUUGUUUAAGACCAUAAAGGGCCUUUUUGAGACGACAAACAUGAUCAUGUGGGUGAGUAACACCUGGAGGGGGUUUCAUAUAAACUUCCUUGGUGAGAUCACCAUGGAGAAAAACAUUUUUGACAUCCAUCUGAUAAAGAGACCAUCGGCGUACAGCAGCAACAGCAAGAAGGCUACGAACUGAAGUAACCCUAGCGACAGGUGCAAAAGUCUCCUCAUAGUCAAUUCCAUAUUCUUGAUUAAAACCUUUCGCAACUAAUCUGGCUUUGUACCGAUCGACAGUGCCAUCCGAGUUUGUUUUGACUUUAAACACCCAUUUGGAGCCAAUGAUGCCCUUUCCUGAUGGAAGAGGGACGAUGUCCCAUGUAUGAGCCUUAUUAAGAGCCUCUAAUUCGUCGGAUAUAGCUCUUUGCCAAAGUGGGUCAGAGGAUGCUUCUUUAUACGAAGAUGGUGUAUGGAUAGAGAAUAGAGUAGAAUAACACUUGUAGUCACGAAGAUGAGAAGGUAUAUGUCUUACCCGGGUGGAUCGGCGAUUGUCGGUAGUAAGUUCAUCAGGCAAAACAGACAUUUCAGGAGAGUCCAUAGAGGAAGAGUCGGGAGUAGAAUCACAUGUAGACAACGAUGUAGGAUCAGAUGGUGUAAUAGAAGGAGAAGUAUCAACAGGUGAAGAAGAGUCGGGAAAAUGCAAUGGUGAGGAAUGAGAUGGUGUGGCAGAAGACAUGUCCAUAGAUGGAGACGAAGGAUCGACAAUUGUCUGCGAAGGUGGGACAGAAGAUGAUGGUUGUCCCGGAAAUAGUUGAACAGAUGUAUCGGUAAAGAAAGGAGGAACAUGAUCAUAUUCCAAUUGAGAUGUUGAAAUGGAGGAAAACAUUUUGUGUUCCCAGAAGACAACAUGACGAGAUAUACGAAGUCGUUUGGAGAUAAGAUCCCAACACCGAUAGCCUUUGUGUUCGAUGUCGUAUCCCAGGAAACAACAAAGACGGAAUCGAGGUUGAAGUUUGGUGUGUUCAUGUGGUUGUAGCAAGACGAAGCAAGCACAACCCCAUACUUUGAGUAGAUUGUAGUUAGGAGGUUGUCCAUACAAAGCUUCAUACGGAGACUGAUUCUGGAGAAGUGUAAUUGGAUGGUGAUUGAUGGUGUAGACUGCUGAAAGGGCGGCCUCACCCCAAAAACGUUCUGGGCAUUGAGCUGAGAUAAGUAAGGUACUAACAGUAUCUAGGAUAUGGCGAUGUUUGCGUUCAGCUCUACCGUUUUGUUGGGAAGUACCGGGGCAAGAGUACUGAGAUACGGUGCCUUGUUGGCGGAGGAUGUCAAGGAAAGAACGUUCUUUGUAUUCUAUGGCAUUGUCGGCACGAAAGACUUUUAUGUGUUUAGCAAACUGGGUUUGGAUCAUACGUGCAAAAUUCAUGUAUAUAUGGGGUAGUUCAGAUCUGUUUUUCAUUAGAUAUAUCCAAGUAAAUCGCGUAUGAUCAUCAAGAAAGAUAACAAAAUAUUUUGACCCUCCCAUUGAAGGAAGAGGAGAAGGUCCCCACACAUCUGAAUGAAUCAAAUCAAAAGAAGCAACUGAAUUAACAUCAAUUCUACAAAAUGGUAAGGCAUGUUGUUUUCCUAAUUGACAUGAUAAACAAGAUAACUUGUCAGGUUUAACCGACCCCAAAAUACCAGAUAAAGUAAGAACUUUAAGUUUAUCAAAAGAGAUAUGUCCCAAUCUUGAAUGCCAUGUAUCUAUAUCACUGGGAGAGCCAUCGGAUGUUGAUAGAGAAGAGUGAACAAAAGGUUGUGGUUUGCGGAGAUAAACUAGCUCAACCUGCCGACCCACUUUACGGCCUAUCCCAAUUGUUUUCUUCGUGCUGGGAUCCUGAACAUAACAACCAGAAGGAGAGAAUAAAGUGUUUAGACCCAUAUCACAAAGCUGGCCCACUGAAAUUAAGUUAACUGAUAGCUUUGGGAUGUAAAGUGUAUCUGGUAAGGACAAUUGGGUUGUAGAAAUAUGCCCACUGUAAUGAACAGGUAGACUGGUUCCAUUAGCGGUCGUAACAACAGAUGGAGAUGUAGUUGUGGUUUUUGUGACAAAUACAUCAGGUUGUGAGGUCAUGUGAUUGCAACAACCAGAAUCAAAUAACCAAGCUUUACCUGCAACCGUUGAAUUGGCCAUGAUUGGUGAGGAUCUUGACAUAACUUGUUUUAUGAGCUCGAUUACAUCAUCAGAGGUAAAAGUGUUGAGGCUCUGAGCUGUUGAGGACCCCCAAAGGCACAUUGGAAAAAUCUGGAGCACAAACUGUUGCAGUGAUAUUUUUGAUGCGAUCUGGAUUCUUAAAACAGUUAGAUGCAAAGUGCCUAGGAUGUUUCUUUUGACAAAAAAUACAAGAACGGUUUGGACAAUCCAAUAGUUGAUGACCAUUAUCAUGACAAUAUGAGCACUGAGAUGAUUUUCUGUUGUGUGGAAACUGAGCUUUGUUGGAUGUGAAGUUUCGAACUCCUUUGUGGAAAGGUACAGCAAGAACUCCAUCAGUGGAUAAACUAGUUGAUGAAGUAGGAACUCCCAACCUGGUUUCUUCUGAGAUAAGUUCAGCUAUCGCAGCUUCAAGAGUAGGAAGAGGAGACCUAUGUAGGAGAGAAGCUCGAACAGGUUCAUAAAGAUCUUGUAGCGCCAUAAGAAAGAUCAUGAGAUGUUGUUUUUGAUGGGUAGUUGAAAUCAUAGCAUCCUCUUGACAUUUGAAAGUGGGUCCCGCAAGAGUCAGUUGAUCCCAUAUAACUUGUACUUCAGAUAGAAAUGCACUGAUGGUUUGACCUGGUUGUUGACGUUUGCUAAGAAGCCCAGACAAAAGGUGAUACUGAUGAGCCAUAUCAGUGGUGGUAUACCUAUCUUUAAGAAAAUCCCAUAUUUCUUUACCAGUGACAAAAAGCCCAAAUUGUUGAUUGAUUUCUGUUGUUGAAGUAUUACACAGAAUGGUGACAAUUUCUCCAUUCUUACACAACCAAUUUUCUUCUCUAAUGUCAAAGGCAUCUUGAUCUUCCCUUUCUUUUUGAACUGGUCUAGGUAUAGCACCUGUAACAACCCUCCAUAGUUUGCGAGAUUGAAGAUAGCUUGUCAUAUGUCGAGCCCAUAUAACAUAAUUAGAUCCAUCUAAUGUAAUUGAGAUUGGGCGAGGUGUGACAAGAGGAGUUGUCAUUGUUUAGGAAGGAAAUACAAGAAAGGAAUGAGAAACUUGAAGAAUGUUGUGGAAACCUCGUGAACAGUAUAGUGAGUUCAAUUUUACCAGAAAAUAGGGGAGAUAAUGGCUGCUCAGAUGUUAUUACGAGAGAUAGCUGCUACAGGGGUGACGAUGAGAGAUUGAAUCGACUAUUGUUGUAGUGGUAAUGAGACACACCACAAAAGUCGACCAGUCAACCGGAGAUGGUGAGAGGAGACGAACUUGGUAGCCACUGGAAGCCCUAGCGAUUUGGAGCCCUAAGCUCUGAUACCAUGAGAACGAUCUGAAUUAAUUUAACCAAAAGUCAUUACAGAAGAAAGACCAUACAAAGACUAAAUACUUGGACAAUUAUACAUAAAUGACAAAAAGAGUCUUUCAACUAUAUUUAUAAAUAUAUUAACAGAGAACAUCAUGGUAUUUAGCUGCUUCUGAUGGCAAACUAUUAGGCAUAUUUUUAAUAGAUUAUGACCAUAUUACUAAUUAGGAAGGUUUCAAUAUAGAGUCCAGCUACAACUCUUGUAUAGAUAUCAUGAAAACUAUGGAAAAAGGCAAGGC
rnacentral:lncRNA from 1 species